GCGGGGGUGCCUGAGGGGACUAAAGGGCCGGACUUAAGAUCCGGUAGCCGCAGGGCUUUCAGGGGUUCGAAUCCCCUCCCCCGCACCA
rnacentral:tRNA from 1 species